rnacentral:rRNA from 1 species
GGGAGGGUUGCUCGGAGCCUUCGGGCUCCGGGUCCAACUCUACCGGCGAACGGGUGCGUAACACGUGGGCAAUCUGCCCCGAAGACGGGGACAACCUCGGGAAACCGGGGCUAAUACCCGAUACCCUCACCGGGCCGCCUGGCCUGGCGCGGAAAGGGUCCGCAAGGUCCGCUUCGAGAUGAGCCCGCGGCGUAUCAGCUAGUUGGCGGGGUAACGGCCCACCAAGGCGAUGACGCGUAGCCGGCCUGAGAGGGUGGUCGGCCACACUGGAACUGAGACACGGUCCAGACUCCUACGGGAGGCAGCAGUUAGGAAUCUUGGGCAAUGGGCGCAAGCCUGACCCAGCGACGCCGCGUGAGGGAUGAAGGCCUUCGGGUCGUAAACCUCUUUCGGGAGGGAAGAAGCCGCCUCUGGCGGUGACGGUACCUCCAGAAGAAGCCCCGGCUAACUACGUGCCAGCAGCCGCGGUAAGACGUAGGGGGCGAGCGUUGUCCGGAUUCACUGGGCGUAAAGCGCGUGCAGGCGGCCCGUUCAGUCCCGUGUGAAAGCCUCCGGCUCAACCGGAGAAUGUCGCGGGAUACUGGCGGGCUUGAGGAAGGCAGAGGGUGGUGGAAUUCCCGGUGUAGCGGUGAAAUGCGUAGAUAUCGGGAGGAACGCCAGUGGCGAAGGCGGCCACCUGGGCCUUCUCUGACGCUGAGACGCGAAAGCUGGGGGAGCGAACGGGAUUAGAUACCCCGGUAGUCCCAGCUGUAAACGAUGCUCACUAGGUGUUGGGGGGUCACUCCCUCAGUGCCGCAGCCAACGCAUUAAGUGAGCCGCCUGGGGACUACGGCCGCAAGGCUAAAACUCAAAUGAAUUGACGGGG